AUAACCGUUUGAGAGAAGGGAUGACACAGUAGGAUAAGCUAAGCACACUGUUGGUUAUGUGUGCCCAAGCAUUGAGGCAGUCAAAGUAGGUAAAUCCGCUUUGAUAAUGCUGGGAUGUGAUGGGGAGCGAAAUUUAGUAGCGAAGUAGCUGAUUUCACACUGUCAAGAAAAGUCUCUAUCGAGGUUAAAGGUACCCGUACCGCAAACCGACACAGGUGGGUGAGGAGAGUAUCCUAAGGCCAGCGAGAGAACUGUUGUUAAGGAACUCGGCAAAAUGACCCCGUAACUUAGGGAUAAGGGGUGCCACCAUCAGGUGGCCGCAGAGAAUAGGCCCAAGCGACUGUUUACCAAAAACAUAGGUUUCUGCUAAGUCGCAAGACGAUGUUAUAGGAGCUGACGCCUGCCCGGUGCUGGAAGGUUAAGGGGAUCUGUUAGAGCAAUCGAAGCAGUGAACUUAAGCCCCAGUAAACGGCGGCCGUAACUAUAACGGUCCUAAGGUAGCGAAAUUCCUUGUCGGGUAAGUUCCGACCCGCACGAAAGGCGUAACGAUUUGGGCACUGUCUCAACAACAGACUCGGUGAAAUUGUAAUUCCGGUGAAGAUGCCGGAUACCUGCGACAGGACGGAAAGACCCCAUGGAGCUUUUACUGUAGCUUGACAUUGGGUCUUGGUACUACAUGUACAGGAUAGGUGGGAGGCUUUGAAACCAGGACGCCAGUUUUGGCGGAGCCAUCCUUGGGAUACCACCCUUGUAGUACUGGGACUCUAACCAUAGGCCAUGAAUCUGGUCUUGGGACACUGUCAGGUGGGCAGUUUGACUGGGGCGGUCGCCUCCCAAAAGGUAACGGAGGCGCUCAAAGGUUCUCUCAGUACGGUCGGAAAUCGCACGUAGAGUGUAAAGGCAAAAGAGAGCUUGAUUGCAAGACAUACGGGUCGAGCAAGGAUGAAAAUCGGACUUAGUGAUCCGGUGGUUCUGCGUGGAAGGGCCAUCGCUCAACGGAUAAAAGCUACCCUGGGGAUAACAGGCUUAUCUCCCCCAAGAGUCCACAUCGACGGGGAGGUUUGGCACCUCGAUGUCGGCUCAUCACAUCCUGGGGCUGUAGUAGGUCCCAAGGGUUGGGCUGUUCGCCCAUUAAAGUGGUACGCGAGCUGGGUUCAGAACGUCGUGAGACAGUUCGGUCCCUAUCCGUCGCAGGCGUAGGAAAUUUGAGAAGACCUGUCCUUAGUACGAGAGGACCGGGAUGGACGUACCUCUGGUGUACCAGUUGUUCUGCCAAGGGCAUGGCUGGGUAGCUAUGUACGGAAUGGAUAAGCGCUGAAAGCAUCUAAGCGCGAAGCCAACUUCAAGAUAAGAUUUCCCACCGCAAGGGUAAGACCCCAGAAAGACUAUCUGGUUGAUAGGUCGAAGGUGUAAGUGCAGCAAUGUAUUUAGCUUAUCGAUACUAAUAGGUCGAGGACUUGACCAA
rnacentral:rRNA from 1 species